rnacentral:rRNA from 1 species
AUUGAACGCUGGCGGCAGGCCUAACACAUGCAAGUCGAGCGGAGCGGCUGACGGGUGAGUAAUGCCUAGUAAUCUGCCUGGUAGUGGGGGAUAACGUCCGGAAACGGGCGCUACUACUGCAUACUAUCAGAUGAGCCUAGGUCGGAUUAGCUAGUGGGUGGGGUAAAGGCCGACCAAGGCGACGAUGCGUAUCUGAUCUGAGAGGCUGAUCAGUCACACUGGAACUGAGACACGGUCCAGACUCCUACGGGAGGCAGCAGUGGGGAAUCUUGGACAAUGGGCGAAAGCCUGAUCGAGCCAUGCCGCGUGUGUGAAGAAGGUCUUCGGAUUGUAAAGCACUUUAAGUGGGGAAGCGUUACCAACAGAAUAAGCACCGGCUAACUUCGUGCCAGCAGCCGCGGUAAUAC